rnacentral:rRNA from 1 species
UGGGGAAUCUUCCGCAAUGGACGAAAGUCUGACGGAGCAACGCCGCGUGAGUGAAGAAGGCCUUCGGGUUGUAAAGCUCUGUUAUUAGGGACGAACGUUCUAUGUGUAAACAAUGCAUAGAAGUGACGAUACCUAAGGAGGAAGCCACGGCUAACUACGUGCCAGCAGCCGCGGUAAUACGUAGGUGGCAAGCGUUGUCCGGACUUAUUGGGCGUAAAGCGCGCGCAGGUGGGCUAGUCAGUCUCAUGUAAAAGUGCGGGGCGCAACCCCGUAGAGCGUGAGAAACUGCUAAUCUUGAGUGCCGGAGAGGAAAGCGGAAUGCGCAGUGUAGCGGUGAAAUGCGUAGAUAUUGGGAGGAACACCAGUGGCGAAGGUGGCUUUCUGGACGGUGUCUGACGCUGAGGCGCGAAAGCCAGGGGAGCGAACG